GAACUUUUGAUACAGGUAAUUAAUCCGCUGGUGUGCUUUUUCAUUUUUACUCAAUGCCAUACAUCUGUGCUAGAAGCUGCUUUUAUAUGUCAGAUGUCAAAGAGCCUUUGGAGGAGGGGUUUUAUAUUCACAGGGCAAGGCCAAAUACAGAGAGCUGCCAGAUAUUCAAAGGGACUCCAUGCUGCAGUAGGAAGGAUUUAUCCCCGAAGAGCUGUUCAUGUAUGAACUUGCUAGGAAAUAAACAAGGCAAAGCCUUUGAUUUAACUAGUCUCCACUAAAAUCACAUCAGUGGUAUUGGUUUGCUGUGUGAGUAACUAAGAUUAAUAUGACUGUCACCUGGAGGUAUAUUCAUGCGUUCCUCCUGCUGAAGCACCUGGGCACCAUUUGUAGUCACCCAUAGUGCAAAUAACCAUGAGUGUCAGGUAAGGAAAUAUGGGUUCUCUUUUCCUUUUUUUUUUUUAGAUAUUAUCUGUGUGCACGUUUACAAACCAAAGCUAAACUUUGCAAUUCAGUACUCAUGUUUUUGGCCAUGCUCAUACCUGCCACUUUUCCCUUGCUGGUUUCCUGCAUAUACUGCCUCAUCACCCUGUCCAUUUCCCCAUAACCCAUCCCUGUCCAUUUCUGCCUCUGGAUUUCCCCUCUGACAUUUCAAGUCACUGCCCAAGAGUCUGGGAAUUCCGAGCUUUCCAAAGAGAAGUUAUUUACAUUUAUUUUCAGAGGGAUUAACAUGGGAUUUUUUACCCACAUUUCUCAAAAUAGCCUGAAAUUAUUUUGGUGAGGUUUUUACUAAAAAGGACGUUCAUAAAUAAAGGUUUUUAUAAAAUAAAGGUUUUCACUAAUGAGGAUUUUGACAAAAAAUACAGUAGGCUAAGGCCCUGGAUCUAGAAAAUACCAGCCCAACCCCAGCUAGUUUUGCAACAUGCAUGACAGGCAUCUGAAAGCAUUAUUAUAUAAUGGGAAUAUUUGGCAACUGUUCCUCAUGAGUGACACCAGCCUGUGCUCAGGUUCGUCUUGCUUCACAGCCCAGCAGAAGGGGUUUGUGUGGUGAAUGUUUGUCACCAUAAUUCCUCUAGGAAUUAUUUGGAGUUGGGAUUUUCUAAAGCGUUUAAGAGAACAUGAGCCAUUCAGCUAUCACUGAAUUUUGAAUUAAAAUGGGAUGUAAACUUCACCGCUUGAAAAUCCAGGUCUUAAGAUUGCAGAUGGGUACUUCCUCUGAGCAGUUUUUCUGUCUAACCAGCACACAAAUACAUAUGGUUAUAUUUUGAGGUGAAAAUUAUUUCUAUUAUAUUCAUACUUGAAUCCUUCAUAAUCUUUCACUGUGCUUGCUGGUGCUUCAUACCAAACACUUAAUGCAAAAGACAACCCUUUAGCCUUUUUACAUAAACCUAAAACUUUUAAUACGUAUUUAUAAUGAGAACCAGUUGUGACAGCUGUCAUGCUGACACAAUAAUGCCUACAGAGAGGGAGAGACUGGUUGACCAGAGACUAACUUUUAUUGUGCAUUUUUAUACAACAGAACAAAUGGAACUGGAGGUAUGUAGUAAUAAAACCAAUACUCAAAUUAGAAUUAACACCUGAAAUAGUAAACUUUAAGUAACAAAUGUCUUUAUAAUUAAAAAAUAUUGACUGUUUAAAAAAUCUCUAAGAUUUUAUAUUCUUUAAAAGAAAUGUGUAUUGCCACAUAGAAAACAAUUCACACAUCCUAUAGAAAUCGUCACAAAAACCUUACUAAUCUAUAUUACACUAUGCACUUUUUUUUUUGUACAAUAUCUGGUAAAGGUCUAUCCCUAACCUGUACUUACUCUACACAGUACAAUCAUCAUAGAAAGUAUUCAUAGAAUUAACUACACCAUAACAAUAAAAAUAUCAGGAUUAAUGGUUUUUUAAUCACAGUUUCUCCACAAAUAUUUGUCAUAGAAAAUAUAGCGAAGGCAUGUUGGCACAGAUGGGCGUGCAGUACUGCUACAUAAAGUUAGAGAGAAGGCAGAUACGUAAAUGACAGUAAGAUUAAAGAGUAUGGAAGAAUAAGACAAGAAUCACAAUUCUCCUGGGACUUUCUGGAGUGACAUGAUAGAUAGCAGUUUCCUUCUGUCACAAGCCUGCUGCCUAUAUCCAGAGCUGGGAAAGCAUGUGCUGACUUUCAAAGCACGCUGCUUAAAUAUGGGCAUCUUGCUGUGCAAGGGCUUAUCUGCUAUCUAUUAUUUCAGGUCCCAUACUAUUGUACCUAACCUCUUGUGGAUAUUUAGACACUUCAAUGUCUAUGAAUUUAUAAUGCCUCAUGAACAAGUGAAUUGGAGUAAGCUGUUGUGAAAGGUUUGGGUUUUAUUUUUGUUUAAAUGAAAUGGAUGGGUCAAGAGUCAAGUGGCCAUGAUGGCAAUUAAAACCAGACAGACAGCUAAGGAAAGUUGUUGUACUCUGUUAUUUUAAACUCAAAUGUGAACAAAAAAAGAUGAGCUAGUGCCUGUUAAUGCCUGUCUGUGACUACGAUUCGUGUCACUGGCCAGUGCACACAAGCAACUGAGGGCAAAAUUUUGUCUGUAAAGAAAGGUCUAAAUCUGCAAAGCCAUCCCUAGUGCCAAAGUGGCUUUCAAGAUGAAACUAUACAUUUGGUUAUUUUGUACAGUAUGAAAGUAGAGGAUUGUGAGAGGUUCCAGGAUGCUGGCUACACGUUUUAUGCUAAAAAUAAAGGUAGACUUACUAGUUAUGUCAGCAUAUCUUUAGGUUAUUAAGUGAGAGGUCUGUCCAGCCCAGUAAUUCUGUGACUGUUAAAAAUGAAGCAUCUGUAUUUUUAAUCCCAUAUGAUUAAACAUUUGAAAGGAAACCAUCACAAUGUUUACAAAAAUACAGCAUGAUACAUAUCGCUGUGGACAAAUUUACAGUAGAAUGUUGAUUCACACGUUCCCACAUGUUUUACUGAGUAGUUCUGGCAAGUCACCACAUUAAACAUAGACCAGCAACUUACACCAUCAGAGCAAUGUAACAUCUUCUAUUAUAGUUCUUUUUAAAAAAGUGUAAGUUCAACACUGAAAAGCUACUAUAGGGUAUCUGUACUGUGACAUUUCUAUACACUGAGUUUCUCCUCCAGGGGCCACCAUGUACUGUUGACUGCUCAAAGAAAGUCACCUCCUGCCUGUAGUGAGGGCUGCUGUCUCAGACCCCUUGGCCUGGUGAAGUCCAGUAUGACUAAACUGUUCAUUCACUUACAGAAAAUAAAUGAGUUAUUCUGGUGCAGGCACAUGCCUUUUAACCCCCUCAUCAAAAAUCGCCAAAAAAUAAAAUGAAUUGAGAGGUAUUGGACAUUUAAGGGCCUAAAGCAUAUCCUGAUUGAGAGAGGUCUUAUUUACGGUGGAGCCUGUGUCCCAAGAUGCCCUGAGGGCUGUCUAUGAGAGAUCAGUCACAACCGCAGGCAAAGAGGAGAGAGGGGUCAGGAAGAAACUACUAUGUGGGUGAGCUGACCUUUAAGAGACUGCCUCUGUCCUCCACUCAUGGUCAGGCUGGAACUAGAGGAGUGCUGCACCCCAAAAGGCCCUUCCUGGUAUUUGAGGAAGGGGCUGGCACCCCUGUGCUGCCCAGCACAUCGGGAGAAAAGCAGGAGGGAGGGGAUAAGGGUAAAAGGAGCAAUCAGUAGCUUCUCUCGUGGCUUGCACAAGGCAGUUAGGAAAGCUGGGGAGCAUGAGAUAUGUGUUCAGGAGAGUCGCUGCUGAUGAGGUAGCACUAAGGACAGUCAAAAGCAAAGUGAACUUUCUUUCCAAAAACAAGUUCCCUGUACCUGCCACUGGGGAAAUGUUGCCUUACGGAGGGCUGGUUCAGGCCAGGAAGCAUGCCAGUGAUGGCCUGAGAUACCGGACAAGGGUAAGGAGAUGGAAAACAUGAAAAGGAAAGGGGUUUAUUUCUUUGGCAUUACAUAUUUCUGGAGUGCAUCAAUUUAGAGGGACAGAGGACCCCUAAGCCUUUAAAAUUUAAGUUUUUCAAUGGACUGAUUUCUGUUUUGUUUUAAAGUCAGUAUCUGCUUCCAACAUUGUGCACCACUGUGAAUUCUGCUUUAGCAUGGCUCUUUUUGUAACAGCUUGCUUAAUCUGGACCCUGUGUUCACUUACAACAGGAGUUUAAGCUAGGCUGCUCUUAUCCAACCCUUCCCUGAAUGCACUGUUGAGCAUCCGACCAGCACAUUGCCUCAUCUAUUUCAAGGAAAGGGUAUAAAACACAAAAGAAAGCAAAACUAAGAAAAGGCAAUUUAAAGCCUCUGAAGCUACAUGUCUGCAGAACAGGAACAGACAAAGCAAAACCUGUCUUCUGAAAUGGCAAUUUGGUUUUAGCAAUCUUAUUUUAAUGAAAACUGUCAUGAUCAACCCUAGUCCCCUGGAAAUCUAGAUAUACAUAGUGUCUAUCUGAUAUACAAAGCAAUUUUUAUCUAUUAGAAGUGCCUGUUAUUAUUGUUCUGGGUCUUUGAAGGAUUCUGCUGUUGACAAACACUGCUGUUUUACAUGGGAAGCUUAAUUUCCUGGCAGAGUUGGCUAAAGGAAGUCCCUGAAUUUUCCAUCUUGUGUAGUAUUUUAAGGUAGCAUUUAUAAUUACGUUAUUUUCUGUUAGGAAAUGGGAGACCGUUUCUUUUUUUUUU